rnacentral:lncRNA from 1 species
GAGUUCUUUGGCUAUGGCGGUUUGUGGGAUAUUUGUGAUUCGAACUGUGAGCGUUUGUCUCUCCUCCAUGGCUAUGGCGAUUUAAAGAUUUAAGAAAGAGAAAUACGAUUAGGAUCAGGCGAGAGAAGGGUUUUGAGGUUUUGCCAUUUUGGGAUUUUUAAUUUUGUGACGUCAGUUGUUGUAUUGUACUAUUUGAGAGUUCUUUAGAUUUUGUUUGGAAACUAAAGAAACUGCGUCAGUUCAUAGUUGAGUUAUUGUUGGG